rnacentral:rRNA from 1 species
GUCUACAGCCAUGCCACCCCGAACGUGCCCGAUCUCCUCUGAUCUUGGAAGCUAAGCAGGGUCGGGCCUGGUUAGUACUUGGCUGGGAGACCACCUAGGAAGACCAGGUGCUGAGGCG